AAUGGAUUUGGCGGCAUAAUAAACCAUUUAGAGGAACCUGCUUAAUAAACGAUAGACCACGAAGGCCUUACUUUUAUUGGCAAUCAGUUUGUAUACCGCUGUUGUAUGCUAGUUUUAUUAGAAAAUUAGCAAUAAUAUUUAAAAUAAUUACUUCAAGUAAAGGUGCAGCUAAUAUAAAAGUUUAAAGUGGGUUACAAUUAAUGAAUUAAACGAAAAAAAUUUUUAAAUGAUUUUUAGAAGGUGGAUUUAAUAGUAAUUUUAAAAAUAUUUGAUAACGGCACUAUUAUGUGUACACACCGCCCGUC
rnacentral:rRNA from 1 species